rnacentral:tRNA from 1 species
GGAGAGGUGGCCGAGUGGUCGAAGGCGCUCGCCUCGAAAGCGAGUGUGCCCGAAAGGGUACCGUGAGUUCGAAUCUCACCCUCUCCG